rnacentral:snRNA from 1 species
AAUCUUGCGCAGUGGCAAUAUCGUAACCAAUGAAGGUCUCCUGAGGUGCGAUUAUUGCUAGUUGAAAACUUUUACCAAUACCCCGCCAUGCAGUCGUGCAACACCGACUGCAUAGGCAAUUUUUGAAAGUCCCUACGGGGA